UCCAAUUUGAAGGAACUCGACUGUUGCAG
rnacentral:piRNA from 1 species